GAUGAACGCUAGCGGCAGGCCUAACACAUGCAAGUCGAGGGAGAGGUCAUCUUCGGGUAACCAAAACCGGCGCACGGGUGCGUAACGCGUAUACAAUCUGCCUUUCACAUAGGGAUAGCCCGAAGAAAUUUGGAUUAAUACCUAAUGGUAUAUAGGAGCGGCAUCGUUUUUAUAUUAAAGCUACGGUGGUGAAAGAUGAGUAUGCGUUCUAUUAGCUAGUUGGAGAGGUAACGGCUCCCCAAGGCGACGAUAGAUAGGGGUUCUGAGAGGGAUGUCCCCCACACUGGUACUGAGAUACGGACCAGACUCCUACGGGAGGCAGCAGUGAGGAAUAUUGGACAAUGGUCGGAAGACUGAUCCAGCCAUGCCGCGUGCAGGAUGAAGGUCCUAUGGAUUGUAAACUGCUUUUGUAAGGGAAGAAUAAGGAGUACGUGUACUUUGAUGACGGUACCUUACGAAUAAGCAUCGGCUAACUCCGUGCCAGCAGCCGCGGUAAUACGGAGGAUGCGAGCGUUAUCCGGAAUCAUUGGGUUUAAAGGGUCCGUAGGCGGGCUGAUAAGUCAGAGGUGAAAGCGCUUAGCUCAACUAAGCAACUGCCUUUGAAACUGUCAGUCUUGAAUGAUUGUGAAGUAGUUGGAAUGUGUAGUGUAGCGGUGAAAUGCUUAGAUAUUACACAGAACACCGAUAGCGAAGGCAUAUUACUAACAAUUUAUUGACGCUGAUGGACGAAAGCGUGGGGAGCGAACAGG
rnacentral:rRNA from 1 species